UGAGCUAUUGCACUGUAAAAUGUAAUAGCUGAGCUUACUAAAAAGAUUAAGUAAACUUAACUUAUUUAAUUAAGUUUGUUAACCUUACUUAGUUUAACUAAGUAAUCCCAACUUUUUACUAUGCAAACUCAAGUCAACUUGAUUAAACUUAAAAGAUUAAUUUAGCUCAACUUAAAAUUUCAAGUAUUUUCAAAAAGGAUGACUGCACAGUAGGUGGCAGUAAUGCUCCCAAGGAGUAAGUGGUGGCUUAACUGAGUGGUUAACUGAAGAAGACGACAACAGCACAUGGUCGGAUGAGAGCAUGAGGAGCAGGAGCUUGUUUCUUUGAAGAGAGUGCAUACCCUUCAUGGAAAGUCAGGUAAUUAACACACAUUUUAUUUAGGGCAUGUCAAAACUUUUUAAAUCUUGAUAUGUUGUUUCUUUUGUUAUCCUUCUUUCAUAUAGUAUAACGUUACUGUGGAGUACAACCAAGUCGCAAGCAAAAACCUCAAGCAAUAAUUGUUCUCAUCCCUUGCUAAACAUUGUUUUUGAAGAUUUUGAAUGAGAGAAAAGUUUAAAAGCUCUCUUCAGUAUCUAAUAAACAUCACUGAUGUCACUGCUCGGUGGACGGUAGUUCUCCGUGGUCUUGCUAUCCUUCUUGCGGAAGACACUACAGACUUCCUGAAAACAAACAUGGUUAGUAUUCUUCUUGUUUAAUCAAUAUGAGAUAUCCUAAUUUUUGUGUUAGCAUUUAAUUAGCAUUAUUAAAGAAAUAAUGUGUAAAUAGAAGAUAAUUAAAGGCACCAAGGCACAUCCUUUUGUCCCACAAUUCUAUGCGUGAGCAUGCUCAGGAUUGGUUGAGCCUGGUUGAGUUCGAUAAAAUAAAAUGGUGGGCAAGAAAGCAACUGAGCACACAUUUAGUGUAAAUAAAGUAAUAUUUUCACUUUUGGUUGCAUUUCUAGCGAGAAAUUUGUAUUGUAGUUUUGAACUCUUUCCCCGCCAUUGAGUUAUUCCGUCAAUUAAGAGAUUCAAUAACUUCUGAUAAAUGCUGUGAAUAAAUGAAAACAUAAUUUAUUUGCCAGGUAAAGGUUUUAUGCCAAUUACAUAACCAAUUCAAAUUCAUUAUAAAGAAAGCAAAACAUCAAAUAUUCAAAGAUCAGUCUGAGAUGUAUACCUGACAGUGGCGAAAUACAUCAACAUGACACUAUGGGUUUUGGUUUAUCGCAUUAUGAGUGAACAAAGCUUAAUACAGGUGUUAACAGUGUGUAAACCGUUUUGAGCUGUCCACUUUCGACUACAUUCAGAUGUAUUCAAAACAGAUUAGAACCGCUUAAACACGCUGUAACCCGUAUGCUGGA